AAUAUUGGACAAUGGGCGAAAGCCUGAUCCAGCCAUGCCGCGUGUGUGAAGAAGGUCNNNGGAUUNUCAAGCACUUUAAGUUGNGAANACGGGUUGUAGGUUAAUACCCUGCAAUUUUGACGUUACUACCUGAUUAUGCACCGGCUAACUUCGUUCCAGCAGCCUCGGUAAUACGAAGGGUGCAAGCGUUAAUCGGAAUUACUGGGCGGAAAGAGGGCGUAGGUAGUUCGUUAAUUUGGAAGUGAAAGCCCUGGGCUUAACCUGGGAAUUGCUUUCAAAACUGACGAGCUAGAGUACAGUAGAGGGUAGUGGAAUUUCCUGUGUAGCGGUGAAAUGAGUAGAUAUAGGAAGGAACAUCAGUGGCAAAGGCGACUACCUGGACUGAUACUGACACUGAGGUGCAAAAGCGUGGGGAGCAAACAGG
rnacentral:rRNA from 1 species